AUUGAUUUGGCAGAUUAGUGCAUUAAAUUUAGAAUUUAAGAAAGUAAUAUUUAUACAUUCAAUA
rnacentral:tRNA from 1 species